rnacentral:rRNA from 1 species
ACCCGCUGAACUUAAGCAUAUCAAUAAGCGGAGGAGAAGAAAUUAACAAAGAUUGCCUCAGUAACGGCGAGUGAAGCGGCAAAAGCCCAAAAUGGAAAUCGAGUGCCAGAAGGUACGCGAAUUGUAAUCUAGAGAGGGUUCACUCAACGGGAGGCGGCGCAGAAGUGACCACGAAAGGUCCGCCAAAGAGGGUGAAAGCCCCGUACGAGGUGCCGCAACCCAACGAGUGAGGUCUCAAAGAGUCGGGUUGUUUUGUAUUGCAGCCCUAAGUGGGAGAUAAACUUCUUCUAAGGCUAAAUAAAUAUGGGAAACCGAUAGCGAACAAGUACUGUGAAGGAAAGAUGAAAAGAACUUUGAAAAGAGAGUCAAAAGACUUGAAAUCGUUGAGAAGGAAGGAGUAGAAAUUUAUAGUGAGGCGGAGGCCGGUGGGAGUCGCCAAACCAUUGCAAGCUGAGAGAACCGAAAGGGCUCCGGUAUGCACGUGGGGAAGUGGCUUUCUUGGUGUCCGUCGAAAGGCAAGAUGGGGUCCAGAAGCCACAAAGGCGCCAGGCGAAGGGGUUCCCUCGGGAAUCAGCGCAGGGAAAGCCGGUGGAAGAAGGGCCCGAGGAGCUAAGGAGAUCUUGCCAAAAUGGUUUU